CACAGAAGGUUUGGGUUGGUAACAUUUUUCCACCAUGUGAUUGAAUCAGAGAGAGACCAGCUCAGUAGUUUAACAGAAUAAAAUAGAAACAAAAGAAAGAGAGGAUUUGAGGGUGUUUCCUGGAUGAGAGCAUUCCAUUUUCUCAUUCUUGAGGCCCUGCUGCAUUCCUGCACUGAGGUGUUUUCUACCCUGGGAAUUCUUGUCCACCUAAUUCAGGUAUUCUGUAACCUGACCUCACCUUUGAAACAUCUGAGAAGCUUUGAAAACAUAGGUGUGUCUGAGCCCCCUGCUUACCCGAUUACAUCAGAAUCUUGGGAUGAGGGUCUUCAGCAUAUAGAAAGUCAUCCUUUCUUGGUGGAUGAAUGACUGAAGGAAGGAAUACAUGCCUGGUCUUGGAGACAUCCACUGAAAUAAGGAUCAGAUCAAGGAAACAAAAGCCACUGGAAGAUUCUGCUAAGAUGGGAGCCACCGUGGAAAGAACUUGGAUGUUGUAUAAUAUGUUAUCACUUCAGGAAGUCUCUGGUGGCCCCUGGGGAUAAAAACAGAAGGAAAUGAGAGGAAAGCCAAGAAGGAAGUGAAAGGUCUGAAGCAAGAAAGAGCUCGGCCUUUGGAAGGAAAUGAAAAAAAGCAGGAGGGCGGUGACCCACUAGAAGGUAGGUAGGAGCAAGUUACUGACGGCUGCACAAAAAGUUUUAUCUGUUUACUAAACAGGUAUGUAGAGUUCCAUAUGUGCCAGACACUAUUUUAAUCUUCAUGUCAGUUCUGUGGAGUGGAGUUUUUAAAUUAAUCCCCUUUUUCAACUGGCGAAGCUGGGGCAUAGGGAGGUGAAGCAGCUGGCUGACUGGAGCUCAGGCCGCGGGCUCCCGAGUCCGCUACCCUCUGGAAGGGCGACGGGGUCCAUUUGCGACAGAGCAUCCAGGCAAUGUCUGGAACAGUUGGAUAUAAAACCUGAAGUAUAGGGUUGGG